rnacentral:rRNA from 1 species
UGAGGAAUAUUGGUCAAUGGGGCGGAAGCCUGAACCAGCCAAGUAGCGUGCAGGACGACGGCCCUAUGGGUUGUAAACUGCUUUUAUGCGGGGAUAAAGUGGGCCACGUGUGGCCUUUUGCAGGUACCGCAUGAAUAAGGACCGGCUAAUUCCGUGCCAGCAGCCGCGGUAAUACGGAAGGUCCGGGCGUUAUCCGGAUUUAUUGGGUUUAAAGGGAGCGCAGGCCGCCGGGCAAGCGUGUUGUGAAAUGCAGUCGCUCAACGUCUGCACUGCAGCGCGAACUGCCCAGCUUGAGUGCGCGCAACGUUGGCGGAAUUCGCCGUGUAGCGGUGAAAUGCGUAGAUAUAUGGAGGAACACCGGUGGC